AUGAAUCUAAUACUAAAACGUGACUUGAUACAUCUGUAUGUAGACAAAUCUAAGGCAAGAAUUUUGGGACGGAGGGAGUAUUAUGGGAACAUGCCAGCCAACAGAAACAAAAGAAAUAGCCAUGAGCAGAUGGAUGAGCUUGCUGCACUUAGGAUUGUAAUGCUACUACUGGCCUGUUUGUUCAGGCAUCCAUUUGUAAGUAAAAGAGGACUACUCACCAAAAGAAGAAACACCCAGCUGAUGCUGCAGAUGAAAGCUCAAGCCAUGCUGCAGCUUGGGAAACAUCCCAUAAAUUGUGCAUGUACUCACUAG
rnacentral:rRNA from 1 species